UACAGAGGGUGCAAGCGUUGUUCGGAAUUAUUGGGCGUAAAGCGCGUGUAGGCGGCUUUGCAAGUCGGGUGUGAAAGCCCUCAGCUCAACUGAGGAAGUGCGCCCGAAACUGCAGAGCUUGAGUACCGGAGAGGAUGGUGGAAUUCCCCAUGUAGAGGUGAAAUUCGUAGAUAUGGGGAGGAACACCGGUGGCGAAGGCGGGUUGCUGGGCUGAUACUGACGCUGAGGCGCGAAAGCCAGGGGAGCGAACGGG
rnacentral:rRNA from 1 species